rnacentral:rRNA from 1 species
GACGAACGCUGGCGGCGUGCUUAACACAUGCAAGUCGAACGGAAAGGCCCUGCUUUUGUGGGGUGCUCGAGUGGCGCACGGGUGAGUAACACGUGAGUAACCUGCACUUGACUUUGGGAUAACUUCAGGAAACUGGGGCUAAUACCGGAUAGGAGCUCCUGCUGCAUGGUGGGGGUUGGAAAGUUUCGGCGGUUGGGGAUGGACUCGCGGCUUAUCAGCUGGUUGGUGGGGUAGUGGCUUACCAAGGCUUUGACGGGUAGCCGGCCUGAGAGGGUGACCGGCCACAUUGGGACUGAGAUAGGGCGCAGACUGCAACGGGAGGCAGUAGGGGGGAAUAUUGCACAAUGGGCGGAAGCCUGAUGCAGCAACGCCGCGUGCGGGAUGACGGCCUUCGGGUUGUAAACCGCUUUCGCAUGUGACGAAGCGUGAGUGACGGUAAUGGGUAAAGAAGCACCGGCUAACUACGUG